UACGAAGGGGGCUAGCGUUGCUCGGAAUCACUGGGCGUAAAGGGUGCGUAGGCGGGUCUUAAGUCAGGGGUGAAAUCCUGGAGCUCAACUCCAGAACUGCCUUUGAUACUGAGGAUCUUGAGUUCGGGAGAGGUGAGUGGAACUGCGAGUGUAGAGGUGAAAUUCGUAGAUAUUCGCAAGAACACCAGUGGCGAAGGCGGCUCACUGGCCCGAUACUGACGCUGAGGUGCGAAAGCGUGGGGAGCAACAGG
rnacentral:rRNA from 1 species